AUUCCAUGAUGUGGGCACUUUCGAAGAACUUCCUUGAAUCUCUCCCAAGCAUUAGAUAUUGCUUCAACAUCCUCUUGCUUGAACAGCAAAAUUUCAUUUCUGACUUU